GUUCUUGUGACAUGUAUAAAAUCCUCACAGGAUUAUGAAGGAUGGAGGAUUGAGCUAUUUAAAAUAUAACUUACAGGAAGAGUAACCCCAGAAAGUUAGAGGACUUUGAGUUGGAGGCAUCUUCUUAUCAGUCAAACAUCAUAUAAGGACAGCUUGUCCUUUGGCCAGCAGCUGCUUCUACUACUUCAGGGAUGAGUAGUAUCUCUCUUGCUUGAGUCUAGAGUUAAACAGACACCAUACAACUGUGGAGACUAAUACAACAAACACGCAUGAGCCCACCUGGAAUUUAAAACUGGAGCCAUUUUCACGUGAUGCUCUUGACUUAUGCAUAGGAUGCCUUGGUCUCUGUCCAUUACUUCCUACAGAUUGAUCAAAACUGAGGACCUCGUCAGGGCAAUGAUGAGCUAAAAAGCAUGGCAGUGUCUCCUCUGGUGUCUGCCUUAUGUGUUCAUCUAGGUAUGAGGAGCUGAAGAAUGGGCAAAAGCAAAGAAAAUCUAUGUGUGCAUUAGCGCUCAUGUGUUGUAUUGGAUGAGCGAAUGGAAAUCUGUGAUCUCCCAGGCCAAGAAGAAUGAACUGAGGACUAUCUGAAGGCCAUUGAAUUCCUUAGAUAAGUCCAGAAGGGAAAUCUGGGAUUAGUAUAGUAUUGUGUCUAUGACAGCUGAGGAUAAAGGAUUGGAAAGAUUCAGGGUACUAACUACCUCCUUUUGCAUUUGGCUCUUGGUCCUUUUGUUGUGAGCUUUGUGUUUUGUGCAAAGCUGGCUGGGGUCAGCAUCUUGGGUAAAAAAAAACUUUCAAUGAAAGAGGUUGGGAAUCUCCAAUUUCUAUCCCAAAACAUGUCACUGAUGACUUGAACACAUAACCAGAUACUCAAGAUACAGAGGAGCGCUUCCACCUAUGGGAGAAUGACCCUCUGAAGAGAAAUAUGGAAUCAUCAUCAGAGCCAUUGGAGAGGACAUCUGAGAGUCAGGACGUAUUACAGAGUCAACAGGAUGAGGGUGCCUGUGUGAUGCAUCAGGAGUGUCAGAUCCAGCCCUGUGAGCUCUCAGCAUCCCAGGAGCCUGGGUUCUCUUCUCCUGCAGUGACAUCGUUGGCAUCGCCACCACUCUGCUUUGGCCGCUUCACUUCCUAAGCUGUGUCUGCCAGACCUUCUCAAGGUCUAGGCAGCAGAAGCCCCCCAGAAGCGAGGGCGCUGAGCUGGCUGAGCUUGAAUGCUUCCAGAAUAUGAGGAGAGUACUCUAGCAAAGCAACCUCUUCUGUUGUUGAACAGCUCUGAUGAGAAGUUCUUUCUUACAUCGAACCUGAAUCUACUUCUUGAUUACAAAUCUGCUUUUUGGAGCAGGAGAGAAUAAGCCUUUCACUCUGCCAUAUGAUGACCCUUUGAUCAUAAUCCCAGAUGCCACAUGUUGCUGAUGGAAUAACAAUUAGAUGGAGGAGGGCACCUUGACUUGCGUUGGUUUGAAUUGGGUUAUAUGUUACCACGGCAUAGCCCUGCUUCUUCUGACUAAUGUAAUUAUGCUGUACCUUACUUACAACCGUAUCCUCCCAAGAUUCUAGCAUAAUGUGAUGGAUGUAGGAAUUGAUUGCACCCUGGCUCUUCAGCUAAGCCCAUGCAUCCAUAUCCAAGACACCACUCACCAGCCCUCCACUGAUGACCUCUGCUUUGUCAUUUUGAUUCCCAGGACCAGGCUUCUGCUUCAGUUUCUGAUGUUUUAUACCUGUUUCCCUUCAUUUUCCUUGCCUGAGGAGGUCACCUAUGGACAGUCAUCUGUCCGAAUGACUUGCUGCUGCUUGGACACAUGCCUGGGCUCCUCCUGGCCUCUCAUGCUGUGCGCUCUGGCAUUGCAGGCUGUAGAGGCUACGUAGCCUCAAAGACUUGUUUGUAUGCAACUACCUUUGAGAAGAGAAGUGGCCAGAGACUGUUCCUUCCUGCAGGUUAAUAUUGGGCCCCCGAAGUAUGGUUUUUAAGUGAAAAUAGUUCCAGUGCUCUAGCCAGAUAGCAUUGAAUAAGGGCGGUGUCAUGAGGUAAUUGGAAAGGUGCUUGUGAGAGAUCUCAGGGGCCCCAAGGUGGCUUGGGGGUAAAUUCUGCCCAAUGGGUACACUUGAGGGAAUGGGGACAAAUCAUCCUAAUCACACCAUUUAUUUUGAGAUGUAUAACUUCUGGGAGAGUCUCACUGUUCAACAUGUCCUCUAGCAGAUGCUGAACACAUUUUCUGGGUUCCUGGGGGCUUCCUUGAUGUCCUCGACACCUGUGUCUCAGAAUGGUUAUCAGGCUGGUGGGGUACUUUUCUUAUAGCUUAGUAUUUUUACAUCCUGGAGUAAACCCCUGUGACUGAAGGCAAACCUUGAGUGUUUCUCCCUUGGAUUUCUUAGGAGGAAAAGUACAUACUUAUUGGAACCUUGUGACCUCUGCUUAGCAAUAAAGUACUCAAAAUUGCCCGAAGCAUGCUUGCUCUUGUCAAGCCCUAUGAAUGUUGGGCUGCACAGUGAUCUAGACAUGUGUCAGGUCCAAGCACCAUCCUUUGUCCUCUUGCCCUCGCUGCUCUAAGUCAAGACAAUUAUAGUUCUCUGUGGGUCUGAGAUAGUUUUUCAAGCCUCCACCUCAUAUAACAAGAUAAUAUAUGGAUUUUAAAAUAAAUAUUGGUUGAUCCAGAGUCAAUGAGGUGGCUACUAUCCAAGAUAUGUUCUUGAACAAAAGUGAGUUUGCAUCUCACAAAUACGUGCAUAUAUGUUCAUGCAUGCAAUGUGUGUGUACUUCUAUAUUUCUUUUAUAAACGUAAUCUGAAUUUCACAUAAUAUAAAAUAUAAUAUUUAUAAAAUACAGUUUUAUGUUAUAAAUUCUAUGUGCACACACAUUUCCAAUACUUUAGUCACAUGCACAUACUUGCAGCCAUAGCCUUACAGUCAAACUCAGCUUCUUUAUCAGAAUUUUUAGCAAAGGGAAAUAAAAUUUCUUGUUAUUCAAAGUUUGUCCCAGGAAGCCUUCCCACCCAUGAUAUAUGUAGCCACAGUGUUGCUAAGUAUAGAGGCCAGUCCUUGUUCCUCCAAAAGAUUUGUUGUGUUUUCCGGUGUCAUGGUACCUCAGCUAAGCACUGCUCAAGCAUUUACAAAUGUAGCUACAGUUGUCAAGUGAUUUCAUUAUGACAGUAGUUUUAAUAAUACUCCUAGGGGUACAUUAAAAAAAAUAAACAUGCUUCUAUAUAUAAUAUCAGCUGAAGGGUAUUACUGGAUGUAGUUUUGCUUCUGAAGUGUGAAAUACUCUUCUUUUGAGGUAGGGAGAUUUGGUCUUACAGAAAUUCUAUCCAAUGGCUUCUCCACACCUGCCCUCAGUUUUUACUGUGUAAUAACUCUGUGUCUCAUGUCCCUGACAUAGAGUUUCUACUUCGGAAAAACAAAUGUGCUGCUUUUACACAUCUCAGCUAACUGGCCCCUAGCUUGCAUUAUUUUAUUACCAUUGGCUGGACUGCUCAAACUUCUUCCUGCCUCCCAAUCUUCCUUUAAGGAUCUGUCUCAAAACUCACUCCUUGUUCUCUUCCUGGAUUAAAGCCAUGCAUAUUUGAUUACUCCAGUCAUCCCAGCACCCUCCCAGCACAUGUGGGAAUGAAUGCUAACUACAAGUCUUAUGAUUGCUUCAGUUUCUGCCAUUUGGCCAUGGCUUUGAGUCAUUUCAGUAAUUUAAGAUUUAUAAGUAGGGUGGGGAUGAUGGAGUGCUAAUGGCUUAAGUCAGUGAAGAGGCCUUGGGAAAUUGAGGGUUGGGCACUUUGGGAACAUCAAGAGAAAGUGCCCUUGGAAUUCCCUUUGCUGGUUUCUGGCAGAAGUGGCAGUGAUAAGCUGAUCCCCUUAAGGGUCUUAGCAAAAUAUGAUCAUCACUGUGGGGGUCACAAGGAAAGGACAGGAAUAGAUGAUCUAUCAGCACACUUGAGAGAGCUUCACAGAGAAUUUUAUCUCUGAAUUGAAGCAGGUGCCAGCAAAACAUGGAUGAAUCACUUGGAUGUGAAGGUCACCAUGGUCCUAGCAAGAGAUCUACUUCCUCUCAUUACAUCAAAGAUGCCACACAGAAAUGGAAGGUACUUCAGGAGUACCACCUGGACCUCUUCUUUGCCUAUUGUGUUGUCUCUCCUCUUAACCACACUGUGGCCUACUAUGCUGGUGUAGAACUCCUCUUUAAAAUGCUGUUUUUCUAGAUUCAUAAGCAAGUAGUAAUCAUUCCCAGUGUGUCCCUACCUAAUCUAAAAUGCCUCCUCUUGUCAAACAUGGAGAAGGUUCUUUCCUUCUGCCUUAAGGCAUUAAAACUCAGCUUAGCCUUCCUUUGUGGUCUGAAUUUGCUUAGCUAAAAAUGCUAGUGAAAUUUAGAAAGAUUAUCUCUGUUUCCAAGAUGGUUUUCAAACCCUAUUUAUUAUCUUGCUUGUCAGUAAGUCCAAUAUUUGCCCUCUCCUUUCAUGGGGCAAUAAUACUCAGAUUCAGCACUGGAAUUGGGAGGUUGCUAGGAAUCUUGAGUUAAGAGGGCAAUUAAAUACAUAUGUAUAAUAUUUGUAUAUAUUUUCACAAUCUUAAUAUCAUCCUAUCACAGACUGAUUUGUUUCUAGUACUUGGCUAUUUUCGAAGACUUUAUUGGUCAUCAACUGAAUUCGUAUACAUAAGAACAUUGUCAGGUUCACUCAUUUAACAAAUAUUUGCUGAGCACCGAUUAAAUUCCAUGCACUAUUUUAGGCAUUCGAGACACAUCUUUAAAUGACAACAAGGGUCUAUGCUUUAUAAGACUAACUCUCUAGGACAGAGAAACAAAAAAUAAAAGCAUAAAAAAUAUAAAAAUCAUAUUGUAUGUUAUGAGGUAUUUAGUGCUAUGGAUAUGAAAACAGAAGAAAAUAAGUCUAAUCCUGAAUGUGGAGUAAAAGGAAGAGAUGGCUCAGAAAGUGACAUUUGAGCAAAGCCGUCAGGCAGUGUCUGAUGGAAGAGUGUUUCAGGCUAAGAGGACUACUGGCAUAGAGGCCCUGCUGGGGGAGUACCAGAUGUGCUCCAGGAAUGAGAAGCAGCCGGUGUACCAAGUGGGGAGGGAGCAAGGAGGAGAGUAAUACAGGUUCUUUAAAACAAUUUUCAAUUUCACAAAUAAAGAAAUGCUUAAAUAUUAAAAACAAUCUUUAAAUUGAUAAGAUAAAUUCUUAAAACAAGCACAUUGAAGAAUACAUAUUUUAGCAAAUUAAGAAGGAUUUUAUCAGCUUGCUUUUAAUUUAAUGUCGAUUAAUAUACUUUAAAAAAUAUUCCACUUCUUAAAAGGCUUGAAUCAAGUUUUCCUCACCAUUUUAUCUUUAUGUGCACUCUAGUAUGUACAUCCUAGUCAUAAAUAUAAACAUGUGCAUAUUCUUACAUAUGUGUAUUCCUCCUAACAUGUGAAUCAGCCCAUUGAGAACUUGCCACUUGUCUAAAGACACUAGCUUCUUGCAUAGUGGCUGAGGCUAUCUAAUUAUCUAAUUUGUGUGAAUGUAGACAGCUAAACUGAAUAAAAUUCACUACUGGGAUUAAAUUA